rnacentral:rRNA from 1 species
AAUGCAUAGAAAUCUGCCCGGUAGUGGGGGAUAACCUGGGGAAACCCAGGCUAAUACCGCAUACGUCCUACGGGAGAAAGCAGGGGAUCUUCGGACCUUGCGCUAUCGGAUGAGUCUAUGUCGGAUUAGCUUGUUGGUGAGGUAAUGGCUCACCAAGGCGACGAUCCGUAGCUGGUCUGAGAGGAUGAUCAGCCACAUCGGGACUGAGACACGGCCCGAACUCCUACGGGAGGCAGCAGUGGGGAAUAUUGGACAAUGGGCGAAAGCCUGAUCCAGCCAUGCCGCGUGUGUGAAGAAGGCCUUCGGGUUGUAAAGCACUUUCAGUGGGGAAGAAAGCCUUGGGGCUAAUACCCUCGAGGAAGGACAUCACCCACAGAAGAAGCACCGGCUAACUCCGUGCCAGCAGCCGCGGUAAUACGGAGGGUGCGAGCGUUAAUCGGAAUUACUGGGCGUAAAGCGCGCGUAGGCGGUCUGAUAAGCCGGUUGUGAAAGCCCCGGGCUCAACCUGGGAACGGCAUCCGGAACUGUCAGGCUAGAGUGCAGGAGAGGAAGGUAGAAUUCCCGGUGUAGCGGUGAAAUGCGUAGAGAUCGGGAGGAAUACCAGUGGCGAAGGCGGCCUUCUGGACUGACACUGACGCUGAGGUGCGAAAGCGUGGGUAGCAAACAGGAUUAGAUACCCUGGUAGUCCACGCCGUAAACGAUGUCGACUAGCCGUUGGGCUCCUUGAGAGCUUUGUGGCGCAGUUAACGCGAUAAGUCGACCGCCUGGGGAGUACGGCCGCAAGGUUAAAACUCAAAUGAAUUGACGGGGGCCCGCACAAGCGGUGGAGCAUGUGGUUUAAUUCGAUGCAACGCGAAGAACCUUACCUACCCUUGACAUCGUGCGAACUUUCCAGAGAUGGAUUGGUGCCUUCGGGAACGCACAGACAGGUGCUGCAUGGCUGUCGUCAGCUCGUGUUGUGAAAUGUUGGGUUAAGUCCCGUAACGAGCGCAACCCUUGUCCUUAUUUGCCAGCGAGUAAUGCCGGGAACUCUAAGGAGACUGCCGGUGACAAACCGGAGGAAGGUGGGGACGACGUCAAGUCAUCAUGGCCCUUACGGGUAGGGCUACACACGUGCUACAAUGGCCGGUACAAAGGGUUGCGAAGCCGCGAGGUGGAGCUAAUCCCGAAAAGCUGGUCUCAGUCCGGAUCGGAGUCUGCAACUCGACUCCGUGAAGUCGGAAUCGCUAGUAAUCGUGAAUCAGAAUGUCACGGUGAAUACGUUCCCGGGCCUUGUACACACCGCCCGUCACACCAUGGGAGUGGACUGCA